GAAAGAUCUACAACCAAGUGAGAAAAAAACUGAAGUUGGCGCUCGGAAACCUCAUCAGGAAGUGUGGAUUAACACACUCUUGAGAGAUGUCCCUCUCACCCCAGCAUGCAAGGCUCUUGGAGUCAGAUGGUGGAUAUCCAGAUGUAAGAAAUCCGAGGCCCAGGCCAAUCAGCUGAAUUGUCCCACAGGAAGUUGGUGGUAGAAGACCUAGAAGACCACAGCCUAGUCCUGGACUCCUCACUGAGGGCUUCGGUCAAAAGGCUGGGGUCAUCGCUCAGUCUCUGACUGCGCCUCAGAUUUUUUGCUUCUGGGAGAACAGCCUUAAGGCUCAGCCUGAGAACCUUGCAUACACUCCCUGGCCUCCUCACCUCCAUUACAGAAGGUUUGCCUGGAAGCUGCCCAGGCCAAAUCCUCCCCAGGGAAGGGAGAGGAUCCCACCCGAAGAGCUCAGGGAUCUCCCACCACUUCCAGUGCGCAUGUGCACCCCAGUUCUGGCAGAGACCAUCGCUGGAAUUUAGCAAGAGGCCCGCAGAAUAAUUACUAUUGCUGUGGGGCUGACAGCUGUUAAGGGCUCAUUAGGGAGUGUCAGUUUCCCACAGGCAACUGCAUUUCUGAGAAAAGGAUCUGAACUUAGGGGGAAAAAAAACAACCCACAAACCGAGCAGCUCUUUCUAUUUCAAGAGAACAAGUUGUUGAACCUGAAGUGGCAAGAGAGUUCGCCAACCCCUUGAUCUCCCACUUCUGGCACGUUCCAGCCACUCUGGGCUAAGAUGUGGGUCUGGACUAUAAAAUAAGCACUUCUCCUGCCUGCCUCCAACACAUAUGCUGAGAACAUGGUGAACUGCCUUAGGAAUUCUUCACAAUCAAGGAGGAAGUCAGGGAGACUUGGGUUUGAAAGAUGUGGCCAGCCAUUUAUGGCACAUGCUGGGAUAUCCAUUUAUCACCUUGUAUUUGGGAAUGUUACCAAGUACAUGUACAGUGACUGGUGUUUUGAAAGAAAUGAAGGAGGCAUGAGAUGCAACCCCUGCCCUAGAGGAGCAUACAAUCUGGAAUGAGGGCUAACCCCUUGGAUUCAAAGACCAAAACAAGACUC